rnacentral:lncRNA from 1 species
GGAGUCUACCCUGAACGACUGUAUGUAGAUUGAAUUGCUACCACAGCCACUGAAGCCGGAGGAACCAGAGAUGCUAAUGAGGGGUUCAGGGAUGCCCCCCAGCCUCUCCUCUGGAACUGGUGAUUACUGAGGCCCCAGCACAGAGCACCCACAGCAACCUCUGCAGUGAGCUGUGCUAGGAAAGGCAUCACUGAAAGAAUGGACGGACGGACGGGAGUCCCACCAGCUGUCCCACAUCGUCUACCACACCCGA